rnacentral:sRNA from 1 species
UCCAUUGAGAAAAGGCGUGGUAAGUUGGCUGUGAUUCGUUGUUGAGCAAGGAAUCGCAUGACAACGAAAAGAGUAAAAACAAUCUAUCCAUGCAAGCAUUCACCGUCGGUUAUCCGGCGGUUUUUUUUAUUGGCGACAGAUAAAAAAGUGGCCCCUUGUGCUGUAAUGCGACAAGGGGCCUUCGCGGUGCAGGAUUAUCUCCGUUCAUUAGUCA